ACGAACGCUGGCGGCGUGCUUAACACAUGCAAGUCGAACGGAAAGGCCCUGCUUUUGUGGGGUGCUCGAGUGGCGAACGGGUGAGUAACACGUGAGUAACCUGCCCUUGACUUUGGGAUAACUUCAGGAAACUGGGGCUAAUGCCGGAUAGGAGCUCCUGCUGCAUGGUGGGGGUUGGAAAGUUUCGGCGGUUGGGGAUGGACUCGCGGCUUAUCAGCUUGUUGGUGGGGUAGUGGCUUACCAAGGCUUUGACGGGUAGCCGGCCUGAGAGGGUGACCGGCCACAUUGGGACUGAGAUACGGCCCAGACUCCUACGGGGGGCAGCAGUGGGGAAUAUUGCACAAUGGGCGGAAGCCUGAUGCAGCAACGCCGCGUGCGGGAUGACGGCCUUCGGGUUGUAAACCGCUUUCGCCUGUGACGAAGCGUGAGUGACGGUAAUGGGUAAAGAAGCACCGGCUAACUACGUG
rnacentral:rRNA from 1 species